rnacentral:lncRNA from 1 species
UUUGAUUCCUUCCUGUUAUGUUGUAGGGCUUGCAGCAGUGUCCCCCUACCAGCCUCUGGGCACCCGUAGGUUCCCGCUGUAAGAGGUGAACAGCCUUGAAGUUGGAGGUCCAAGGCAUCCAGCUUCAUUUGUUGCAGUGUUUUCUCUCAGGACGGUUGCCUGUUUUGGCUCCACAGGCCAAAAGGAGGGUAAGAAUGAGGGCAACGAGGCGGCAAGAGCUGGCAAAGCCAACGCUGGCAGUGCAGGGCCAGCAGGCUGUGAAGGUUGGUCACCUUCCAGGGGAAUUAUCGAGUGGUGCUGCAUGCCAUGGAAGUGUGCAGCAAUGGGCAGAAGGACCGUGGUGUUCUUGACUCCUGAAGUUUGACUCCAGUUGUGGUACAAGAAAACGUUCCUGGAGUUGAGUUUGGGGCAUUAAAACAGGCAUGGGGGAAAGAGUUUCUUUCUUUGUCCACCUCCGUUUUGCAGCCACUUCCCUGUGCAAUCUUGGGAAAAUCUUGUCUGCCUCUGUUUUGCCCUCUAUAACAAUCAUGACAGACCCCUCCUUUUAGAUGCCUGGAUCAAAGGUACUAUAUAAGUACAAAGUGCUCCUUCUAUAGGGUAUUACUGCCAAAUUCGCUAUAAGCAAUUCCAUUGGGUACUUGAUAACAACAGUAGAAUCAGUCAGACGCCCUUGAUGCAUUCACUGCAUGGUCCCAGAUACCUUUCAGAGCCUCUUUGUGUGCCAUCCCACCCCCUGAGGUCCACGAGGAUGGGGCUUUUGGAGCCUGGAUUCUGCAGGAGCGGGAGGGGUGUGGAAAGCAUCUUCUGGCCCCUGAACCAUGGACCGCUUUUCUUUUGACCUGUACGGGUAACGCCAUUCUCCAGGCGUAUUUACGGACACCAUGGAAGAAAGGGUUUGAGCGAUGGAGACAACGGCUGGAAGCUCCACCGACACAACGCAACUACAUGCUUGUGGAGCCAGUUCCGAGUUGCCUCACCGGCAGGCACUCAUGGCAUCUUGCAGCAUUCUCCAGACUAUGAAGAUAAGAAGUCAGGUAAAGCCCAGUGAGCUGCUCUCAUCUGCAUGCUAGUAUGGAUGAACUAGCAAGGUGGUUUUUCUCCUUUUCCUCUUUUCAGAACUAAUUGUCAGAAACCUGGCAAAAAGGAGAAAAUUAAGAGCUCAACUCUGCUAAUUUUUCUGGGCUUUUUUUCAUUGCCAGAAUACACGCUGCUCAUUUUUCAUCUUUUAUUUUUAUUUUUUUUCAUUUUUUUAAAAUGUUUUUCAAAUGUAAUCAGGGAACGCGUGUGUUUUAAAAGAUUGAUCAUUCUCAUAGAGUAACCUUGAAAUGUUCUUUCUGUGAUCUUAAGAAAAAGGUACGGUGUGUAGGCUAAGAGAACUAAUCAAACCAAUUCCUUGUCCAGGCCACACUUGCUGUGCAUCAGAGUGGCUGGGAGCCGCAGGAGAAGCUUCUGUGCUUGAGCAAGGCAAGGUACAUAUGGUGCACUCAGCCCCAUGCUGCCAGUGUCCUUUUUGAAUGUGCCGAGCUCACAUGAGCCAUCCCAGGGAGGUCAGUAGGAUUACUCACCUGCAAGUGCAUAGUUGCUCAACACAGCCCUAUGCUAGAAUUUGCAUGUCUCAAAUCCCUUUUGCCUGAAGAAGAAAACAUACAACCCAUUAAAGAAAGAUGGUAAUGAAGCGCUAGUGAAAAUUGUUUUGUUUUUGUUGCUACUUCUGUAUCAUGCUCCUGUUUUGUUUCUGCGGCUUCACUCACAUCUGCUCCCAAGAUCUGAUUUUUACGCUGUUAGUUGAGCUAAGCUUCCAUCCAUGUCCACAGCUAUUUUCUCGGAGUAACAACUGGGACAUGAAUUCCUAAAUUCGAGGCAUUCAUCUCCAUAAUGCUUAUGGUAAUGUGUCUCCUAGUCAUCAUCCAAAUGAGUAAAUAGUACAGCAUUUCUGCAUGUGAAGCACGGGGAGGGAAAAUGUGCUUUCGCAAACUCCUGUGCUUGUAUUUGCACAGCCCAGUAUUACCUUUCACCUGAA